rfam:Apaloderma vittatum contig72552, whole genome shotgun sequence.
GGCCGGUUAGCUCAGUCAGUUUAGCGUGGCGCUAACAACGCCAAGGUUGCGGGUUCAAUUCCCAUUUGGUCCC